UUGCCAAACAAGCUCCACCUGUUGAAAUCCACUGAUAUAAGUCUGGGAGUGAUGCAGAGGAACAAAAAUGGCUCGGUAUUUGGCGGGUGGAGCAUUGCGUGUGUGUAGGCUUCAGAAAUCCUCUCUUUCUUCUUCUUCCUUCUAUCUCGCUCGCUCCAUCUUCAAUCCCCUAUCUUCUCCUCCUCCUCCUCCUCCUCCUCCUCCUACUACAACCUUUUACCAAAUCCCAAUCCCUAACCCUAAUUAUUCCAACACCUUCACUCCCACCUCUGAAAUUUUCAAAUUCGGUUGCGAUUUUCGAUCCGUUGCCCACAUUUCAACAAGCAGCGUUGAGGAAAAGAACAAUGAUGAUGAUGAUGAUGGUGAUCGAUCCAAGGCGGCGGCGGCGGCAAGGGCGGUGGUGUCUACUUCUUGGAUUGACUUGUAUUUGCCGAAACAUGUUCAACCUUAUGCUCGUCUCGCUCGCCUCGAUAAGCCCAUUGGGACUUGGCUCCUUGCUUGGCCUUGUAUGUGGUCGAUUAGCUUGGCGGCAAUUCCGGGACAUUUGCCUGAUUUUAAGAUGAUGUUGCUGUUUGGUUGUGGAUCUUUGCUUCUCAGGGGUGCUGGAUGUACCGUAAAUGACCUCAUCGAUCGUGACAUUGAUACAAAGGUGGAACGUACAAAGUUGCGACCAGUUGCAAGUGGUCUUUUGUCACCAUUUCAAGGGCUUUGUUUUCUUGGGUUUCAGUUGCUUUUGGGUCUUGGGAUUCUCCUUCAAUUGAAUGAUUAUAGCUGCAUUUUGGGGGCUUCAUCCUUGUUGCUAGUAUUCUCCUAUCCUCUUAUGAAGAGGUUUACAUUUUGGCCUCAAGCCUAUCUAGGUUUGACCUUUAACUGGGGUGCUCUGUUAGGCUGGGCUGCGGUUAAAGGAAGUCUGGAUCCAGCUAUAGUGCUCCCAUUGUACAUUUCUGGAGUAUUUUGGACUCUUGUGUAUGAUACGAUAUAUGCACAUCAGGAUAAAGAAGAUGAUUUGAAAGUGGGUGUUAAGUCUACAGCUUUGAGAUUUGGGGAUUCGACUAAGGAGUGGAUUAAUGGGUUUGGAAUAGCAUCCAUCAGUAGUCUUGCCCUCUGUGGAUAUAAUGCUGGGAUUGGGUGGCCAUAUUAUGCAUUUCUGACAGCUGCAUCUGGACAAUUAGCUUGGCAGAUAUGGACGGUUGACCUAUCAUCACGUGCUGACUGCAAUAGGAAAUUUGUUUCCAACAAGUGGUUUGGUGCUAUUAUUUUCAGUGGGAUCUUAUUUGGAAGAAUUUCAUCAUAGUGGGACACUGUAUAUUGGAUUUGCAGGGAAUGAAGGCUUCCAAAUUGAAUAAAUGGUUGAACAGUUUAAGUUCAUUUAAAACAAUACUGUGGGCUGCUUUUUCAGACAUUUGGUGUUGAUGAUAAAUGGUUGGGGGAUGGAUCUUUGGGAAAGUUUGGCAGAAAAUUGAGAGAGAGAAGAGGAGUGGUAUGUAUGUAAAGCCCAAUUGCUUUUAAUUAGAAAUCGGUGGAAAUUCUAAAGUGGACCUUUUAAAAGUCCAGCUUUGGAAAUUUUGUGGUUAUUGUAAAAUUAUAUUUUAGAGAGUUGUAUGGAAUCUAUGGAUACUGUUGUAAGAUUCAUUUCUUUUCCUUUUUUUUUUUUAUUAUUUAAUAUCUUUUAGAGAGCUGUAUGUGUACUGCUGUAAGAUUCAUUUUUAUGGAUACUGUAUUUGUUUUU